rnacentral:rRNA from 1 species
CCUACGGGAGGCAGCAGUGGGGAAUAUUGCACAAUGGGGGAAACCCUGAUGCAGCGACGCCGCGUGAGUGAUGAAGUAUUUCGGUAUGUAAAGCUCUAUCAGCAGGGAAGAUAAUGACGGUACCUGACUAAGAAGCCCCGGCUAAAUACGUGCCAGCCGCCGCGGGAAUACGUAGGGAGCAAGCGUUAUCCGGAUUUACUGGGUGUAAAGGGAGCGCAGACGGAAGGGCAAGUAUGAAGUGAAAGUCCGGGGCUCAACCCCGGGACUGCAUUGGAAACUGUCCGGCUAGAGUGCAGGAGAGGUAAGUGGAAUUCCUAGUGUAGCGGUGAAAUGCGUAGAUAUUAGGAGGAACACCAGUGGCGAAGGCGGCUUACUGGACUGUAACUGACGUUGAGGCUCGAAAGCGUGGGGAGCAAACAGGAUUAGAUACCCUAGUAGUC